rnacentral:rRNA from 1 species
CACGUAGGGGGCAAGCGUUGUCCGGAUUUAUUGGGCGUAAAGAGCUCGUAGGCGGUUCGCUAAGUCGGGUGUGAAACCUCCAGGCUCAACCUGGAGACGCCACCCGAUACUGGUGUGACUCGAGUCCGGUAGGGGAGCGUGGAAUUCCUGGUGUAGCGGUGAAAUGCGUAGAUAUCAGGAGGAACACCUGCGGUGUAGACGGCUUACUGGACCAUAACUGACGCUGAGGCACGAAAGCGUGGGUAGCAAACAGG